CACGUAGGGCGCAAGCGUUGUCCGGAAUUAUUGGGCGUAAAGAGCUCGUAGGCGGUCUGUUGCGUCUGCUGUGAAAACUCGGGGCUUAACCUCGAGCUUGCAGUGGAUACGGGCAGACUAGAGGUAGGUAGGGGAGAAUGGAAUUCCCGGUGUAGCGGUGAAAUGCGCAGAUAUCGGGAGGAACACCGGUGGCGAAGGCGGUUCUCUGGGCCUUACCUGACGCUGAGGAGCGAAAGCGUGGGAGCGAACAGG
rnacentral:rRNA from 1 species